GACGAACGCUGGCGGCGUGCUUAACCCAUGCAAGUCGAACGAAGUGGCGAACGGGUGAGUAACGCGUAAUCAACCUGCUCUUCAGAGGGGGACAACAGUUGGAAACGACUGCUAAUACCGAAUACUGAAGGAGGGGAUUGCGGCUGAUUAGCUCGUUGGAGGGGUAACGGCCCACCGAGGCGAUGAGCAGUAGCCGGUCUGAGAGGAUGAACGGCCACAUUGGAACUGAGACACGGCCCAGACUCCUACGGGAGGCAGCAGUGGGAAUCUGCCGCAAUGGGCGAAAGUCUGACGGAGCAACGCCGCGUGAGUGAUGGCGGCCUUCUGGUUGUAAAGCUCUGUUAAGCGGGACGCGGUACCGGAAGAGAAAGCCACGGCUAACUACGUGCCAGCCGCCGCGGUAAUUC
rnacentral:rRNA from 1 species